UACGGAGGGGGCUAGCGUUGUUCGGAAUUACUGGGCGUAAAGGGCGCGUAGGCGGCCUGCUAAGUCGAACGUGAAAUCCCUGGGCUCAACCCAGGAACUGCGUCCGAUACUGGUUGGCUUGAAUCCGGGAGAGGUGUGUGGAACUCCGAGUGUAGAGGUGAAAUUCGUAGAUAUUCGGAAGAACACCAGUGGCGAAGGCGACACACUGGCCCGUUACUGACGCUGAGGCGCGAAAGCGUGGGGAGCAAACAGG
rnacentral:rRNA from 1 species